GAUAUGAAUAAGUGCUGUUUGGUUCAGCAGGAAAGAAGAAAACAUCACCUCAGUAGGAACAGAUGAGUCUGGUUAGGUUUUAUGUCUCUUGCUGAAAAACUGCAAAGGAAUAGCUGUAUUUCACAGUGAAAAUUGCAUUUAAUUGAAAGCAAAACAUUCAAGCACCCAAAAGAGAAGUGAGAAGAAGGGAUCCCACUCACAGGGGGAUAGUGGAGCUGAGAGGCUGUCCCUCUAGUCUGGUGGCCAACGGGGCACAGUCCUACACUCAUUGAGAUAGACUGGAUCUGCUGUUAGUACUCAUUUUGGGAUUCUGCUUUGCUCAUUUGAAGACACAGGCAUGCAGGAGGGGAGAGGAAAGGAGAGCAAAGACAAAAAUUAUUACUUCCUCUUCAGGUGUUGACUUUUACUUGCAGCCUCACUGCUAGAAAAAGACAAGCACAACACAUGGACUUAUCAGCCCCUCUCUGAUCAAGGGGAUUUAUAUCAGCGUCUGUCUCAUUUAGACAUUGCUUUUGGUUGUCUCCUUGAUUGCAGUUCACAGCUGUGUUGUACAACCCGUACCCUCCUAUCUAGGAUAGUUUGAUUAAAAGGAAGGUAAAAGAAAGAAAAGGCAGAGAAGCAUGUGAAAAGACUGCAAAGCUACUGAGAGAAGGGUGGCUUCAGGACCCCAAGUCUUCCCUUCCAAGUGGGUUUCCAGGACUGCACUGAAAUUGGUGGACAUAGCGAUGACUCCCAUGUAUCUCCUCACCAGAAACUCACCAGAAGGUCUGACCAGAUCAAGUAAGUGUAGAAUCAUAGAAUCACAAAGGUUGAAAAACACCCACAGGAUCAUCCAGUCCAACCAUUCACCUGUCACCAGUGGUUCUCACUAAACCAUGUCCUUCAACACAACGUCCAAAUGUUCCUUGAAAUACCAACAGUGUCACAGCAGAGACUUAGAUCUCGAAGUUGACAACGACAGCUGUCAGCAUGUCUCCUUUCUGUCCACCUAUUCUAGGAUCAGUAUCAAAAUGGAUGUACCCCAGAGGAUGAUGUACAUGCCACCAGUCACCAGUUGGCUUUAGCUCCUGGCACAUGAGUUUUGGUCCAUUGAUUUUGGCAUUUAUCUUGUACAUCAGGCCUGAUGUCAGCACAGUCCUUGGUUAAUAUUAGGAAGACUUUCUGAUUGAACUAAUUUGGUCUUCCCAUCUUUAACUUGUGCUGACUUCUCCAAGUAAUUUUCUCCAGCAGACUGAGCUGCACUUUCUCACCUCUGUGAACUUUAGCACAUGCGUUUGCCUGAUGUGCUUGCGUAGGAUGUUCAAUGCCCUCUUCUGCUUCCCUGUCUACCCUUCUUCUUUUCCAGGAGAAUACCACAGUCACAAGAGCAGGGGUACCCUGGGAGAGGCUCUGCCAAUGGCACUUUCAUAUUCCUUAGUAGCGCAAUACUCAUUAGCACAGACUGGGGAAGCCAGGUGAAUUGUGUCCAUGAGUGUCUCUACUGGGGUCUGGAAAGAGGACACAUAAGUGGUGAGGAGUAAGAACAACCCACCUUAGUAUGCAGCACAGCACAACCUUAUGGCAUUCUCUUGGGAGAUAAGUGAUGCUGGUUCUAGUUCCCCCAGGCAGAGGAGGAAAUUAAACCCAGGACUCCCACAUCCUUUAUGAGCGAAUAAAAAGUGGCUGUCUUCCUCUCAGCUUUGUGAAUAUAAUCGUGAUAUUUUCUUCCGGGGAAUCAAUUUGGAAUUCAAACAGAGGGAUGCAUGAGGCCUUGCUGACGGCUUCCAGACUGAAAAAGAAAGCGGAGGGAAAAGGGGCAUUUCUCUGACCUUCCUCGGUGAUUGCUCAGAACUGUGUCUACUGAUGGCCGUGUCCAACACCGACAAGAAGAGGCAAGAGAAGUCAAAAUCUGAGGAGUGAGAUGUUCUGCUAGCACAGAAAAGCCACCUGGAGAAACAAAAACAAAUGUCACACAGCUGCGAGUGGGAGAAAUGCUAUUGUUUUCCUGGUAGCCCGUCCUUCCAGUCUUCUGAGAGAAGCGGGGGAAGGAGGAUUUGACCCUCACUGAGUGAAGGAGUUGCUGAUUUAGUCAAGUCAAGAACAGGAUGCGACGCUUUGGUCUAGUGCAUUGACAUUUGCAUCUCUGAGUGAGAAUGCUUAUUUUCAUUGGAGGAACAGCAAGACUGCCUUUUGAAACAUUUAAAGAGAGUCAGAAACUGUGUAGCUGUGAGGCCUUGAUUGGAGGGAGCAAGUCCACUGAAGGCGAAAAGCGCUUCCUACUCAUCUGGUGCACGUGACGGUGCUUCGCUGUCUAUAUCUGUCCCCAUGACGUGAGCAGCACACUCCCCUGCAAACCACCCGCAGAUCACUCUGGAGCCGAAAAGCCCAGUCGCAGAGACUGCAAAGAAAAAUGAAAAGCCCCACAUUCGAAACUCAGGAACAGACGAUGUACGGCUGCUCCUCAUGGCUCCCCCAGCUGCAGGACCUUCCUCGGGAGCAGCCCUGAUGCGAACGGCUCGCUCCGCUAAUUGCUAAUUAGUCUUACCACUCUUUCUCUGCCAGAAUGCCUCCCGGUGAAACUCAUUCAUUAAGAAGCAAAAGCUAGGAGACAUAAACGUGAGAUGCUUGCAGCCUGCUGAUGGACGUUUUGCAGUAGGGAGAAUGCUGGAUCACUAAUCAUUCCCUUGGCAUAUCAGCAAUGCACAUGCCACCCAACGGGAAGGGUGGGCAGAUUUCUGCCUGGCUGAGUGCAGCGGUGCUGCUCGCAGCCCCUGAGCCCCAGCAGUGAUUUCGCGACCCGCGGGAAGCGCUGCUAGCUCGUACCUCUGGCCUGCCACUGAAUGGAUUGCCAGCAUGAGGCAUGGAGCCUCUGGGAGCUGUGCGGGAGGUGAAUGCGAAAGCAAGCACAGAAGAAAGUCAGGCUCCUGCAGACUUCAACAGGCACGCUUCCCUUCCCACAGAAGAAAAAGCUGUUACUACGUAGAGGCAACGUUAGAAAAAUCACACAGAGCACAAAGGGAAGUCUACCUCUGGGUUUUUAGGUAAGCUGAGGGGAAUCCCUGCAGCCUUUUCCCCUCCUUUACUUUUUCUUUUCUAAUACUAGUGCCGCAGAGGACUGCGUCUGUGUGCAUGAAAUCAGUGCUGCUCUUUAAAUACUUUUCUCCCCCCAACGCCGCUCCAGUUCCUGGUUCAGUUUUGAAUGGAGAUCUUAAGCGAAAGCAGCAAAACACCAACUGGCUGGAAAAUUGGCCAUGAAGGAGCGCAGUUAUUAGGAACCAGAUGCUUCAGCCGAGAGGAAGCAGGAUACGGGAGGCCUUCCAAAAGUGGGUUACCAAGGGGCCUUAGAGACGGACAAGCACCAAAAGCAUCAGUUAUCCACUUGAGCAUUCGCAUGUGUUUGCUUAGGGCUUUGAGUGGCCUGCAACCACAAGACUGGGAUUUGGGUUCCUCUGUGCAGCCUCUGAGAUUUCCACACAUUGCUGAGCUGCUUUUCUCCAGGUCUUGGGAGUGUCAAGACUAGAGAAGCAAGUUGUCACUGGGUGAUCAUUCAUACCAGACACAUCCCCCAGUGUGCUCGAGGGUUGCAUAUGCCUAUGCUGCGUCUGUGGGUAACCGUGGAACUUCACAUACAAGCAGAACCACCUGGCUCCUUUCAAAAGACAAAUAGCACAUCAAAGCAGAUUUUUAUCAUCAUUGUUACACUCUCCGGCCCCCCUGCGAGAGGAUUUUCAUGCUGUCAUUUCAGGGAUGAAAUAAAUUUUUUUGGGAAAGCAAAAUUCUGCCCUGACUUUUAUUUAUUUAGAGCAAUGCUGAUGACUGUAACUGCAUGUCCCCUUGGUGGAAACAAUGAAAGCAACUCC
ensembl:lncRNA